AUGGCUGUUUUUGCCCCAAAUAUUUGGAUGCUUUUGCCUCUCUCGGCCAUUUUUGCCCCAAAUAUUCAGAUAAUUCGUCGCUUUUUUGUCAUUUUUGCCCCAAAUAUUCAGGGGUCGGGGGGCCCCCACCCCAAAAAAACUGGCCGGGGGGAGGGGUUUUUGUACGGCGGAGGGGGGUGUCGGUGUCACCGUGGCAAUGCUGGUGGUAUCGACGCGUGGGGCAGCGGGACAGCCGUCACCGUCUCCUCCGCCCGGGUGACGUCGCCCAACGUCUUCCCCUUGGUGGCCUGCUCGGGCGGGGCCGCCCCCUCCCCCUUCCCUCCGGUGGCUUGUUUGGCCGACGGUUACUUGCCCGAACCGGUGACGGUGACCUGGGAGAACGGCGACGGCCCCGGCGUCACCUUCCCGGCCGUCCGGAAAAGCACGGGACUCUACGCCCUCAGCAGCCAGCUCCGCGUCACCCGCCCCGGCCCCGGUCCCCUGCGCUGCACCGUCCACCACCCGCCCUCCGCCUUCCGCAAGACCGUCACCAUCCGCCCGCCGGUCAAACCCAAUGUCCCCGUGGUUGACGUCCUCCACGCCUGUGACCCCAACGGCGUCCACCUCGUCUGCCUGGUCACCGCCUUCUCCCCGGCCGAGGUGACCUUGGAGUGGCUGGUGGACGGCCAACCCCUGUCCCCGCCCCCCGCCGUGGAGCCCGUGACACCCGAAGCCACCGGCGGCACCUUCCGCACCAGCUCCCACCUCAACGUCACCUUGGAGGACUGGCAGGAGAAGACCUACACCUGCAAGGUCACCCACCCCGCCUUGGACAGCCCGCGGGAGGUCACCGCUCACAAGUGCUCCAGCGCCCCCGCCGACGCCACCAACAUCCGCGUCUUCGUCCUGCCCCCUUCCCCCGCCGAGCUCUACGUCUCCCAGGACCCCGUCCUCCGCUGCCUGGCCACCAGUUUGCCCAGCGACGACUUGGUGGUCACUUGGACCCGCAAGUUGGGGGGGACCCUCCGGCCCCGCCCCCUCCAGCUCCGCGCCCAGUUCAACGGCACCUUCUCGGCCACCAGCGAGGUCCCCAUCUCCACCCGCGACUGGGAGAGCGGCGAGACCUUCACCUGCACCGUCCACCACAACGAGCUCCCCUCCCCCGUCAGCCGCAGCACCAGCAAGAGACCCGGCAAGCGCCUGACCCCCAGCGUCUACCUGAUGGGUCCCCCCGCCGAGGAGGUGAGCAGCAACCGGGACACCCUCAGCCUGACCUGCAUGGUGAGGGGCUUCUACCCCGAGGACAUCUCGGUGGAGUGGCAGAAGAACCAGGAGACCUUGGAGCCCAGCACCUACGACAUCGUCCCCCCGGUCAAGGAGAAGACGGGCGACGCCUCCUACUUCCUCUACAGCCGCUUGGCCGUCAAGAGGGAGGACUGGAACCGGGGCACCACCUACGUCUGCAUGGUGGUCCACGAAGGUCUGCCCAUGAAGUUCAUCCAACGUAGCAUCAACAAGAACCCGGGUAAAAAAUGAGGCGGAGGCGGCGGCGGCAUCAGCCCCGGCUUCGGCUCGGUCCUUCCCCACCGCCCACCCCGCCCCCGCCACCCCCACCUCACCCCCCAGCGUUGGUGGGUGGGUGGGGGCGAAUAAAGGAGAAGAAGUCA